GGCAUUAUGGCUGAGUGGUAAAGCACUUGGCAUCCAAACCAAGGAGUCUUGAGUUUGAAUUUCAGUUAAGGCUG
rnacentral:tRNA from 1 species